ACUGCUCAGUAACACGUGGAUAACCUGCCCAAGGGUCUGGGAUAACCCCGGGAAACUGGGGAUAAUACCGGAUGGAUCACUAGUGCUGGAAUGCUUGGUGGUCGAAAGGCAACGCCUUUGGAUGGGUCUGCGGCGGAUUAGGUUGACGCCGGUGUAACGUACCGGCGUGCCUGUAAUCCGUACGGGUUGUGGGAGCAAGAGCCCGGAGAUGGAUUCUGAGACACGAAUCCAGGCCCUACGGGGCGCAGCAGGCGCGAAAACUCUACAAUGCAGGCAACUGCGAUAGGGGGACAUCGAGUGGCAUCCACCUUGGGUGCCUGUCCAACCGUCUAAAAAACGGUUGUUAGCAAGGGCCGGGUAAGACCGGUGCCAGCCGCCGCGGUAAUACCGGCGGCUCGAGUGGUGGCCGAUAUUAUUGAGUCUAAAGGGUCCGUAGCCGGCUUUGCAAGUCCCCUGGGAAAUCCAGCGGCUUAACCGUUGGGCUUUCAUGGGAUACUACAUUGCUUGGGACUGGGAGAGGUAGGAGGUACUCGGGGGGUAGGGGUGAAAUCCUGUAAUCCUCCGGGGACCACCGGUGGCGAAGGCGUCCUACCAGAACAGGUCCGACGGUGAGGGACGAAAGCUAGGGGCACGAACCGGAUUAGAUACCCGGGUAGUCCUAGCCGUAAACGAUGCCCGCUAGGUGUCACGACGGUCGUGAAUCGUCGUGGUGCCGUAGGGAAGCCGCGAAGCGGGCCACUUGGGAAGUACGGCCGCAAGGCUGAACUUAAAGGAAUUGGCGGGGGAGCAC
rnacentral:rRNA from 1 species